rnacentral:rRNA from 1 species
UACGGGGGGGGCAAGCGUUGUUCGGAAUUACUGGGCGUAAAGGGCUUGUAGGUGGCCAACUAAGUCAGACGUGAAAUCCCUCGGCUUAACCGGGGAACUGCGUCUGAUACUGGAUGGCUUGAGUGUGGGAGAGGGAUGCGGAAUUCCAGGUGUAGCGGUGAAAUGCGUAGAUAUCUGGAGGAACACCGGUGGCGAAGGCGGCAUCCUGGACCGACACUGACGCUGAGGCGCGAAAGCGUGGGGAGCAAACAGG